rnacentral:rRNA from 1 species
UACGUAGGUGGCAAGCGUUGUCCGGAUUUACUGGGCGUAAAGAGCGCGCAGGCGGCCGAGUAAGUCGAAUGUGAAAGCCCCCGGCUCAACUGGGGAAGGUCAUUCGAUACUGUUCGGCUCGAAGAUAGGAGAGGGAAGCGGAAUUUCAGGUGUAGUGGUGAAAUGCGUAGAUAUCUGAAGGAACACCAGUGGCGAAGGCGGCUUUCUGGCCUAUUCUUGACGCUGAGGCGCGAAAGCUAGGGGAGCGAACAGG